rnacentral:misc_RNA from 1 species
GUGGAGCUUGUGGAAAUCGGCAGCCACAGCAUUCUCAGUGUAGUGCGUCAACAAUAUAAAAAGUCUUCACCCAGUAUGCACAUUGCCCCAAUAGACGCUCUGCUACCUGUCAGUGAACAGCUUUUCAACUUUAAUUCGCUCCCGGUUGUAUUUCUGACGGCAGACGCCGCGUUACAGAACUGGAAGUAUGCUCCGGCCGUCGGCGCUGUUCUCCUAUUGGUUGCCAUCGCUGUGGCGCAGUACGGUUUUCUUCCAAUUCGACCCGCCCGACUGGUGGCGAAACUGGAGAGCCGGUAUCUGGGCCGCACAGAGCGGAGACACGGCAGACGGAGACCGAGACAGGCCGGAGACACGGAGAGAGACAUGGGAGGUGGCGACGGAGACACGGCCGGAGCUGCUGGAGACCGUACUGAAGGCAGCCUUGGUGUUAGGCGAGGCAUUGCGGAGGCACGGUCCCGCUCCCAGCGCCACCUAGACCGACCACCCGGUCCCGCUGGGCCAGCGGUAUCGGGACGUUCCCGCAACCAGCGCCACCUAGACUGACCGCAGCGACACCGGGUGGCAGACCACAGUGACACCUGGAGCGAUUGGAGCGACAUCUGUGCGGGGUUUACAGGGCGAUAGAGAAGGAGCGACAAGCAGUGACUGUAGGAGACUGAGUGUUGUGACUGUGGAGUGUGGGAGAGUGGUUUAGGACACAGGUUUGUUUUAGGCAGUUUGUGAAAUGAUGAGGGUAUUAUCAAUCACUCUGGCUCAUCAAGAGAUCAACUUUCCCUAACUUGCCCGAACUCUUGCCGAACAGUAAGACGGUGAAUCGUGGCCUGGUGCCGCAAAGACGGACAACCCAUAUUUCACAGUUUGACUAUUUUCUGACUUUUUCAUUUUUUAUACCAGAGGGUACCGGAAAAUACUCGACCAAGGGCCAACAGAACGCCAAUUAACCGUACCCGGGAAUAACGUUCAUUGGCGUUCUACGUGCUUAAGACCUUGGAAGUUCUAAGUAAGUUUCAUCAUUCUACCGUACACGCCCUAGAAUGCAUGAGAUAUUGCUUCUUAUGCUCUGAAUGAAUGCUUGUUUCUGAUUUCUGUCCGAUUUUGUUUAGGAAAGCUUUUAUGCGUUUGCACGUCCAUUGUUCUGGCUAUGCAUUAGUAUUGAAAAAUGGGCAUCCGUGAAAGGUAUUUGUAAUGUGUAUAAUGUAUGUACAUAAGUGGCCUAGUCUAGGCAGAUAGCGUUUAUUUAUCUAGACGCUGCCUGAGGAUAUUUAUUUACCUAUUUAUUUCAUGUAUUUUUGGUGUUUUGCUCGUAGAAAACUCGUCAUAAUAUCUCUAUUUAUUGUUCCUUAAUUGCGUGGUAUAGAUGUUAUUUGAUAUGUAUAACAUGCACACGGUAAAAGUAGAAAUAAAAAGUUAUAUGUACCAA